ACUUAACAUUGAAAGCAGACCCAUUCAUAAGAUCAAAUCUUUGCCGAGUGAAAAGUUAUUGUAUUUAAUUUGAGGAUGUCAAAUUAAAUAUUCAGAGAGAGCUUUCCUAACCCCUCUAUUUUAAAAUAGCAUUCCUUGUUUCUAUAGACAGUCUCGACCAUGUGUGACAUAAAACAUGAGUACAUGACUAGAAAUCAUCCCAAACUCCAAAUAAUUCAAGAAAAUUUGGAGUAGAGACAACUUAUUAUUAGGUCUCUAAUAAGUUGCUUCUUCUCUUUGCAUUAAACUUGCCUCAGAUACAAAAAGAAGCUGGUAGACCACAUGGCCUCUAAAUUCCUUUUCUGUUCUUAUAUUCUAGCUGAGGAGAAAAAUGAGGUCACAUAGGAGUAACCUGAAGGCAGUAUGGCCAGGCAGUUUGCUUAAGUAAUGAUUUCUGCUUAAUAUUUCUAGAAAUUAUUGUCAAUCAAAUAAGGCAAAACAUGGCUUACUUAGCAUUCUGUCAGCCAGACAGUGCUACUAACUGGCAUGGUGGCAGAAACCUCUUAGUUGCAUAUUUUGAAUUCCAUAUAGAAGAAACAAGUGCUGAAUAAAUAUACUAAUACCGACCAUAUGAAAAGAGACUUUUAGGCUGUAACAGAAAACAGAUUCAACCUGAUUUGUUACUCCUAUUCACAUAAUAUUGAGAUCUGCAAGGUGCUAAAAGAUAUUCUAAGUCAAAUAAAUAUUGAAAUAGCUUCAGUUCCUUGUAAUGGUAGGUGUUUUCAAUUCAUUUUCUUGAAAUACUCAUAAAAAGAGUAUUUGAAGUGUUAUAGAUAUUCAUCUAGUCAUUUGAAUAAUCUGCCCCUGCUAGGUAAAAAUUUUAUUUUUCUUUGGGAUUUCAAAAUGUAAAACCUACACAAUGAAAUAUUGGGGUAGAAUUCUAAGAGCUGGAAUUCUCUUCACAUGUGUAGUGAUUGAUCCCUGACACUCAAAGAUGGGAUAGAUACAUGGCCAUAUUUUCAUCCUGGCUCUCUUGUUUAACUGACUGUUCUGUAUGUGAUUUGUGUUGAGCAAAUAAAAAGAUGUGGUACAUAUAUACAGUGGAAUAUUACACAUCCAUAAAAAAUACAAACUAAUGCCAUUUGCAGCAACAUGGAUGGAUCUAGAGACUCUUGUACUAAGUGAAGUAAUCCAGAAAGAAAAAGACAAAUACCAUAUGAUAUCACUAAUUUGUAGAAUCUAAAAUAUGAAACAGAUGAUCCUAUUAAAAAUAACAAACAAAUGAACAAACAAAAAACAGAAACAGAUCAUGGCCAAGAGGCACACACUUGGGUUUUCUGAGGUGGGGGUGGAGGGAAGGGGAGGGAGUGGGAUAUUUGGGCAUUUGAGGGCUUUGGGAGAUGCAAGCUGUUAUAUUUGGAAUGGGUGGGCAAUGAGAUCCUAUAGCACAGGAAAAUGUGUGUGAUUGGGUCACUUUUUUUGUACAACAGACCUUGAUGAAACAUUGUAAAUCAGCUGUACUUGAAUAAAAAAAUAAAAUAAAAUAAAAAUAAUAUGACUUCUCUAAGCAAGAAGGCUGCCCAUUCAGAAAAUGGGCAUAAAACAAUGUUUGCUUGCCAGAGAAGUCAGAGUGAUUAAGUGAAAAAAGUGAAUGUAAAACAUUAUGUAAAUGAGUAAACUAUUAAGUGUCAUUGAAAAUGUAAUGCAGCAUUAUUUCUAAAUGGCUCAUUAUAUUUGAGUCCUAAUUACUGAAGUCACAUGUUUACAAAUCCUUUCUUUGAAAGUGUAAUUAAGUUUCCUCUUCAUCAAAAAAUAUAAAAUGAAUUUAUGCAUCAAAGCUUCAUUUCAUAUUUGUGGAGAGGAAGCUUGCUGUUUGAAGCAUUAUGAGUAUAAAGGUAAGUCUAGUGAAAAGUAAGUGCUUUAUUUACUCAAGGAUGUGUUUCUAAUAGACCGUAGGGUUUAGGCAGGAAGAAUGUCUUCCUUAUUCUCUUUUGUGCUCACAUCUCUAAACGCAGAGCAAUUACUCAAAAAAAUGCUUGUUGAUGUGGAAUUGGGGGGAGGGAGUGUUCUCAUGGGCCCAAUGAGCACAGUUCUCAGCCAUGAUUCACAGGUCAAAUUAUCUUCCUAUUUCUGAAAAUAAGAGAACUAUGAUUUUUUUUUCCAAAUUUCUGUGUCACUUUUCUGGGUAUUACAGCUUUCUGAGAGAUUCCAUAUUCUGAAAUAAUUCUAAGAAACUUCCCUUUUAUGACUAAUUUAUUGGGUUUUCUAUAUAUUGAAAGAAAAGGCAUAUAUCAAAGGAAAAAGAUUUAUGUCAAAAGAGACUAAUCAAAAGAAGUAAAUUUUGAAAGCCUAUGCAUUUACUUCACUAUUUAGUUAUAAAUAGGAAUUUAGUUUUCUACCUCUGGAAACGGCUAGCUAACCAAGAUGGUCCAAUAUGUCUGCCUUUACGGUUUGACAUUGUUAUUGUUUUUGAUGGUGCCUUUGGAAAAUUCUUCAUGAGGAAGGGUAGUGUCCUCUCUUCUCAUUGUUGAGUUUUGUCACCAAAUGCACCAAAGAUGAGUAGCUAACAUUUCCCAUGAGUAAUGUAUGAUGGACCUGCUUCUGUCCAUGAAUCUUCACCUCAUUAAAAAAAAAAAAAUCAACAAAAGGACCAGGGAUAAGCAUGUCAAAUAAUUCCAUAAGGCCAACAAGCUGAAUAAGAAAGAGAAAGUGGUUUUACUUCAAAAGUCUAUUUUUAUGGUUGUGUGUGUUUUCAUUUAUUUCUUUUCUUUGUCUCUUGACUAUUCAGACCUGAAUUCAUUGUUUCUUAUGCCCUAGAAUUUCUAUUAUACCUCGGCAUAUAGAGUUGAUGAAUUAGCUUUAUUUUUAAAAGUUUAGGUCAAACCAAGCCUAAAUGAACUAAAAUCAUAUGCUUCCAGUCAUUAUACUUUUGUAAAGAAGAUGUAUUCAAAUUUUAAAGGUCCCAGUGGUUUAAAGUAGCAUGAUCAUUCUCAGACAAAAAAAAAAAAAAAAAAAAAAAGCUAUUCAAUGAAUGACAGCUAUUAUUCUAUACAAAGCACUUUAUUUAUACAUUAUUUUAUAAUAAGUCCUUAAGGUAAGUAUUAGUGUAUUCUAAGAGAUGAGAGAGGUUGAACAGCUUUCCCAAGUCACAAAGCUAGUAAGGGAUGACCUCAGGAUUUAAAUUUUUGUCAGGCCCCAAAGUCCAUGUUCUUAACCUCUGCAUUUUCUAUACCUUUAUUUGCAGGAGAUUGAUAACAUGAUAUAAUAAUAUGGACACUGGCAUAGCCUCCUGCAGCCCUGAUGUUUUUCUCAUCUUUAUUAAAAGCCUGAAUUCCACCUAAUGAGGACUUUUAUCUAACUUAAAUUGUUUAUUCCAUAUACCUGCAUAUAAUCCCAGUUUGGAAGAAGUUUUUUCUCCAUAAAAAUGUAUCAUUCUUAUUUCCCACUUCAGUCAGUUUUGGUAAUGACUUUCACACUUACUUUUGCUAAUUAAUUCAACUGCUGUCCAUUGAGAAUAUUAGAAGGAAAACAUUGUAGAUUGAAGAAUAAGAACCUCAUUCCAGAAAUGGGCUACCUUGAUUCAUGUACAGUAACAAACAAUAAUCCAGUGAAGAAUGGCAAAGUGUUACAAUCCUGAUGUAAGUGUUGUAAUCCUGAUCUUGUGCUAAAGAGCAUUGAAUUCCAGCUCUUGAAAUCAGAGAGACUUCUGAAUAGGAGGCAUGGGGGGAAGUGUUGGGCUAUUUGAUAACAAAGAGAAGAGAAUUCCAAAAUGAAGGAGAAGGAUCAGCAUGAUCAUGACAGAGUGUCCUCAAUGUGUAUAGCACAUAUUUAGAGACAGCAAAUGACUCCGUGGACUUGAAGCCUGGCACUCAUGAUGAUUUGUCGGGGAAGGCAGGCUAGAGAGAGACCAUGGGAGUCUUGUCAUGGAGUCCAAGUCAUGGGAGUCUUGGCUGUAAUAGCAGGGUGUUUGUACUUGCUUCUAUGAGGCAUAGAGUGUGUUUGAGGCUGGUAGUAACUAUCUAAUCUUCAUUUUAGGAAUAUGAAAGAAUCCCUCUAUGGAAGAGGAUUGAGAGAAAUGAAAAUUGAUAGUAUUUUGUGCCAGCCUAAAAAAAAUAGAAGUAUGCAGUAGCCACGGGAAUGAAAAGGAAGGGACGGAAUGGAACUUACAGAAUUAAAACUUAUGUGAAUGUGGUCUGGUCACUGUGCCUUCAGAGGACUGGUCACUAUCAGAGAUGAAGUGGGUAAAUUUAGUUUUCCACAUUUUUUUACAAUUUGUCUCUUAUCCCAAUACUAGCACAUUCUUUCUUUCACAGCCCACUCCCCCAGUAGCCAUUAGGCAGCCAAACUGAACUUUCAAAAUCGCCAGAGGAAGGUACUCUAACACUGUAACAUCCUUUGAUACAAUUGUAAUGGACACUCUUCUCAAGGGAAGAGGUUAUAAUGGUGGGAGUGUACCAGGGGUUUUCUCAAUAGGGUGGGAUUUGAUUAUUUUUUAGCUUGGGUUUCUUUCCCUCUUUCCUUUAUCCCAUUGUACAUGUACCCCAAGUUCAGCACAUCUUUUCCUCAGGUCAGAGACAAAAGGGAAAGAAAGGGCAACAUUCCAGGAUUCCCAGCCACAUCUGCAUGCUUUCCUUGGCUCCUUUUUUUAAAUUGAAGUACAGUUCAUUUAAAAUGUUGUGUUAGUUUCAGGUGUACAGCAAAGUGAAUCAGUUACCCACAUACAUACAUACAUACAAACAUGCAUAUAUGUUCUUUUUCAGAUUCUGUUCCACUGUAAGUUAUUAUAAGAUAUUGAAUAUAGUUCCCUAUAGAACUAUAGAGUAGGACCCUAUUGUUUAUUUUAUAUAUAUUAGUGUGUAACUGUUAGUCCCAAGCUCCUAAUUUAUCCUUCCCUUCACCUUCCAUUCUCUUUGGUAGUCACAAAUUUGUUUUCUAUGUCUAUGAAUCUGUUUCUCCUUUGUAAGUAAGUUCAUUUGUAUCAUUUUUUUUUUUUAGAUUCUACAUGUAUAUGAUAUUUGUCUUCUCUGUUUCAUUUACUUCACAAUAUGGUAAUCUCUAUGUCCAUCCAUGUUGCUGCAAAUCACAUUAUUUCAUUCUUUUUAUGGAUUGGUAAUAUUCCAUUGCAUGUGUGUAUAUGUGUAUGUGUGUCCCCCACAUCUUCUUUAUCCAUUCCUCUGUUGAUGGACAUUUAAUUUGCUUCCAUAUCUUGGCUAUUGCUGCUAUGAACAUUGAGGUGCAUGUGCCUUUGGGAUUAGAGUUUUCUCCAGUUAUAGGUCCAGGAUUGGGAUUAUAUAGUAACUCUAUUUUUAGUUUUUUAAGUUCUCCAUAGUGGUUACACCAUUUUACAUUCCUACCAACAGUGUAGGAAGGUGGCUCUUGUAAGUAGAAUGGUGAAGAUCAUAGUGGGGAAGCCUCAUUUCUGGAGCUUCUGUAUUGUACAACUCCAGGGGGCACUGCUCACAGAACAAUGAAGUAGAAGACAGCAUAAGAACUUCCCCUGCAGUUUCUUGCUUUUUCCCAUCCUUGAGCUUUUCACCAACCCAGACUCACCCCACUAUUCCUGCCUCUCUCCCUCAAUGUUCAUCUUAUUCUCCCUUUUCCACAUCACAAACCCUGACAAAACAUGAAAGCACUCACAGACUAAACAAAAACAUCAGCUGCUGUUACUUAGGCAUUAGGCAUAGUACAAUCUGCUCUUCAGGCUCCGCUUCUGUCUCCUUCCCCAGUCAUUUAUUCAUUUGUUUGUUUUGAUCACUAUGCCUGUGGUCCAAUACUAUAUCAAAGAAUAAUCUUAGUAAUAAGAUAGAGUUGGAAUACCCAGCCCCCACCAAAGAGAGAAGGCAGCCUAAAGUCUUUUAAGAGAAGAAUAAAGUUUAAGGAAAACAAAGCUUGGCUAUUUUUGAGUGAAUAUGUGUGUCCAAAUUACUUCAGUUACCAUAAAGACAUCUUUCCGGAACAGUUGGCUAAUAUUACGGGCUUCCCCAUUAGGAUUCAGCUUCACAAUUGUGAA
rnacentral:lncRNA from 1 species